rnacentral:rRNA from 1 species
AUUGAACGCUGGCGGCAUGCUUUACACAUGCAAGUCGAACGGUAACAGGUUAAGCUGACGAGUGGCGAACGGGUGAGUAAUGCAUCGGAACGUGCCCGAUCGUGGGGGAUAACGCAGCGAAAGCUGCGCUAAUACCGCAUACGAUCUGAGGAUGAAAGCGGGGGACCGUAAGGCUUCGCGCGAUCGGAGCGGCCGAUGUCAGAUUAGGUAGUUGGUGGGGUAAAGGCCCACCAAGCCGACGAUCUGUAGCUGUCUGAGAGGACGGCCAGCCACACUGGGACUGAGACACGGCCCAGACUUCUACGGGAGGCAGCAGUGGGGAAUUUUGGACAAUGGGCGAAAGCCUGAUCCAGCAAUGCCGCGUGCAGGAAGAAGGCCUUCGGGUUGUAAACUGCUUUUGUACGGAGCGAAAAGGUCCUUUCUAAUACAAGGGGCUCAUGACGGUACCGUAAGAAUAAGCACCGGCUAACUACGUGCCAGCAGCCGCCGUAAAAC